rnacentral:lncRNA from 1 species
CGAAAAAACCUUGAUGUUUUUGGGAUCUUUAUUUUUUGCCGUUUAACAUCAUUACUGUUUUUGUUAGUUGUCAAGUAGCUAUGAUUCCACAACUCUUCGUCAUAUAUGAUGUUGUUAUAGAGGAGAAAAUUCCAUCCAAGUUGUUGGUACUUAGUACUAAAAGAUAUUGUUAAUUUAUUCACCAAAACAAGAAUAAAUUUCCUUAUAUAGCUCCGCCGGCGUAGAUGCAACCCUAAAGUUUAUGAAAAUUUGGAGGUUAAUAUUUUCGUACUAG